rnacentral:rRNA from 1 species
GUGAGGAAUUUUCCGCAAUGGGCGAAAGCCUGACGGAGCAAUGCCGCGUGAAGGAUGAAGGCCUAUGGGUUGUAAACUUCUUUUCUUAGAGAAGAAUAUUGACGGUAUCUGAGGAAUAAGCAUCGGCUAACUCUGUGCCAGCAGCCGCGGUAAGACAGAGGAUGCAAGCGUUAUCCGGAAUGAUUGGGCGUAAAGCGUCUGUAGGUGGCUUCAAAAGUCUCCUGUCAAAGAUCAGGGCUUAACCCUGGGCCGGCAGGAGAAACUCUGAUGCUAGAGUCUGGUAGGGGCAGAGGGAAUUCCCAGUGGAGCAGUGAAAUGCGUAGAGAUCGGGAGGAACACCAAAGGCGAAAGCACUCUGCUGGGCCACAACUGACACUGAGAGACGAAAGCGAGGGGAGCAAAAGGGAUUAGAAACCCCAGUAGUCC